rnacentral:rRNA from 1 species
UACGUAGGGGGCAAGCGUUGUCCGGAAUCAUUGGGCGUAAAGCGCGUGUAGGCGGUUCGGAAAGUCGGAUGUGAAAGCCCUGGGCUUAACCCAGGAAGUGCACUCGAAACUCCCGAACUAGAGUCCUGGAGAGGAAGGCGGAAUUCUCGGUGUAGAGGUGAAAUUCGUAGAUAUCGAGAGGAACAUCGGUGGCGAAGGCGGCCUUCUGGACAGCGACUGACGUUGAGACGCGAAAGCGUGGGGAGCAAACAGG